rnacentral:rRNA from 1 species
UACGUAGGGUGCAAGCGUUAAUCGGAAUUACUGGGCGUAAAGCGUGCGCAGGCGGCUUUGCAAGACAGAUGUGAAAUCCCCGGGCUUAACCUGGGAACUGCAUUUGUGACUGCAUGGCUGGAGUUUGGCAGAGGGGGGUAGAAUUCCACGUGUAGCAGUGAAAUGCGUAGAUAUGUGGAGGAACACCGAUGGCGAAGGCAGCCCCCUGGGUCAAGACUGACGCUCAUGCACGAAAGCGUGGGGAGCAAACAGG